rnacentral:rRNA from 1 species
UACGGAGGGGGCGAGCGUUAUUCGGAAUUAUUGGGUGUAAAGGGUGCGCAGGCGGACUGGUAAGUCAGUAGUGAAAUCUCGGCGCUCAACGCCGAAACGUCUUUUGAUACUGUCAGUCUUGAAUAAGCGAGAGAUCCGUGGAAUUCCGAGUGUAGCAGUGAAAUGUGUAGAUAUUCGGAAGAACACCAGCGGCGAAGGCAGCGGGUUGGCGCUUUAUUGACGCUCAGGCACGAAAGCAUGGGGAUCAAACAGG